rnacentral:rRNA from 1 species
UACGAAGGGGGCUAGCGUUACUCGGAUUGACUGGGCGUAAAGGGCGCGUAGGCGGUUCGUACAGUCAGACGUGAAAUUCCUGGGCUCAACCUGGGGGCUGCGUUUGAUACGUGCGGGCUUGAGUUCGGAAGAGGGUCGUGGAAUUCCCAGUGUAGAGGUGAAAUUCGUAGAUAUCAAGCGGAACACCGGUGGCGAAGGCGGCCUUCUGGACGAUGACUGACGCUGAGACGCGAAAGCGUGGGGAGCAAACAGG